UGGGGAAUCUUCCGCAAUGGACGAAAGUCUGACGGAGCAACGCCGCGUGAGUGAUGACGGCCUUCGGGUUGUAAAGCUCUGUUAAUCGGGACGAAAGGCCUUCUUGCGAAUAGUUAGAAGGAUUGACGGUACCGGAAUAGAAAGCCACGGCUAACUACGUGCCAGCAGCCGCGGUAAUACGUAGGUGGCAAGCGUUGUCCGGAAUUAUUGGGCGUAAAGCGCGCGCAGGCGGAUUGGUCAGUCUGUCUUAAAAGUUCGGGGCUUAACCCCGUGAUGGGAUGGAAACUGCCAAUCUAGAGUAUCGGAGAGGAAAGUGGAAUUCCUAGUGUAGCGGUGAAAUGCGUAGAUAUUAGGAAGAACACCAGUGGCGAAGGCGACUUUCUGGACGAAAACUGACGCUGAGGCGCGAAAGCCAGGGGAGCGAACGGGAUUAGAUACCCCGGUAGUCCUGGCCGUAAACGAUGGGUACUAGGUGUAGGAGGUAUCAACCCCUUCUGUGCCGGAGUUAACGCAAUAAGUACCCCGCCUGGGGAGUACGACCGCAAGGUUG
rnacentral:rRNA from 1 species